GGACUGGAAGUGAAAAUAUCCCGCGCCCAUAAUACUUCACUGGAUCGUGGAUCAAACUGAAGCAACGCAUGAAUUAGAAAGCCAAAUUUUAAAACAUAAGGGGGGCAAAUUGGGGCGCAAAUUGAAGGCUGUGCGCAAGGGGAGGAUUCAGCGCGGAAUUUCCCCAUUCACACAACAUGGCGCAAAUCCAUUUUACUAUUUGGGCAAACACGCGGACCUUUAUGGUCAUGGAUGACACUGUUUUGUAUUUCAGACCAUUUAAACCCUUUUUCCCUUCCUUUCCUUUCAAAUGCCCAUCCAUUUUAACAACAACCAGCAGCCUUAAAAUUAAAUUUGCUAGGGUUCCUUUUACAAGCAGCCGAACCACCAUCAGAUUUGGUGUCCAGCGGCGCGCAAAACAAUUCCCGAUUCUGCUGCUGUAGGUGCUCGACCACGCCUUGAGGAAAUUAGCUCGGUUGUACAGCGGAGCGGAGAGACGUGCGAAGGAGGCCAUGUGAGGAACCACUCGUGGGAGCCCUAGCUCUCUGGCCUAUUCAGGCACGUUCCAGAAGCUUCCAGUGCUGCUGAGAAUUUUUUGGGUGUAUUGGGCCUUUGGGUUAGGGAUCUUGCUUUGGGCUUUUUAUUUUUAUAAAAAAAACUUGGACUUUUAA